rnacentral:rRNA from 1 species
AAGCCUGAUCCAGCCAUGCCGCGUGUGUGAAGAAGGUCUUCGGAUUGUAAAGCACUUUAAGUUGGGAGGAAGGGCAUUAACCUAAUACGUUAGUGUUUUGACGUUACCGACAGAAUAAGCACCGGCUAACUUCGUGCCAGCAGCCGCGGUAAUACGAAGGUUCGCAAGCGUUAAUCGGAAUUACUGGGCGUAAAGCGCGCGUAGGUGGUUUGUUAAGUUGAAUGUGAAAGCCCCGGGCUCAACCUGGGAACUGCAUCCAAAACUGGCAAGCUAGAGUAUGGCAGAGGGUGGUGGAAUUUCCUGUGUAGCGGUGAAAUGCGUAGAUAUAGGAAGGAACACCAGUGGCGAAGGCGACCACCUGGGCUAAUACUGACACUGAGGUGCGAAAGCGUGGGGAGCAAACAGGAUUAGAUCCCCUGGUAGUCCACGCCGUAAACGAUGUCGACUAGCCGUUGGGAUCCUUGAGAUCUUAGUGGCGCAGCUCACGCAUUAAGUCGACCGC